rnacentral:rRNA from 1 species
CGAACGCUGGCGGCGUGCUUAAUACAUGCAAGUCGAACGAGAAACCCCGACUUCGGUUGGGGGAGUAAAGUGGCGAACGGGUGAGUAACACGUGGAAAAUCUACCCUUGUGUCUGGGAUAAUCCUUCGAAAGGGGGUCUAAUACCGGAUGAUAUUCCGAAGUGGCAUCGCUUUGGAAGCAAAGGCGGGGUAACCUGCCGCAUGGGGAUGAUUCCGCGCUCCAUUAGCUUGUUGGUGAGGUAACGGCCCACCAAGGCUAUGAUGGAUAGCCGGCCUGAGAGGGUGAUCGGCCACACUGGGACUGAGAUACGGCCCAGACUCCUACGGGAGGCAGCAGUAGGGAAUAUUGCGCAAUGGACGAAAGUCUGACGCAGCAACGCCGCGUGGGUGAUGAAGCAUCUUGGUGUGUAAAACCCUGUCAGUGGAGAAGAAACGUACGAGGAGUAACUGCCUUGUGCCUGACGGUACCCACAGAGGAAGUCCCGGCCAACUCC